CAGAGUAGGUAUCCGCGCGAUGAUUUUUAAAUCAACAGUGUCGUAUGCACAGGGAGUUGGCAUACGGACGAAGUGCCGCAAGGCUGCGGUGCGGAUACCGCAUCCCGCUG
rnacentral:ncRNA from 2 species